ACAUGCCUACAACAUAGCGUUAAUGCAUCGGAUCCCAUUAGAACUCUGCAGUUAAUCACACUUGGGCUAGAGUAGUACUGGGAUGGGUGACUGCCCGAGAAGUCCUAGUAUUUUACAUGGC
rnacentral:rRNA from 1 species